GGAAGGGUGCCAGAGUGGUUGAACGGGCUCCCCUGCUAAGGGAGUAAGCUGAUUUUCGGCUUCGAGGGUUCGAAUCCCUUCCCUUCCGCCA
rnacentral:tRNA from 1 species